GGAGCAUCCCAUCCCUUCUAAAACAUCUUAUUUCUCGUCUAGCCCUUUAGCUACCUAGCUUCUUGGCUUGUUCACAUUCAGAUAAUCCGAGGGAGUCAUUCUACAUAGGGCGAGUAUCACACUCUGUGAAGUGCCUCUCUAUAGGGCUAAGCCUUGCUAUUUCACCUGUUGGCUUGAAACGAAUUGGCCGGGCAUUCUAUUAGGACUUAAAGGGCUUAGCAUAGGAAAAAGCGAGUAUAUCUCUUGAUUGCGCUCUGUCUCUUACGCAAUUUCCAGUGCUUC
rnacentral:misc_RNA from 1 species